GACGAGCUCAGUGAUUCGGUACGCAGCACCAAUCUGGGCAAAUACGAAGCCAUAUACAGACUUGACGCCUUGAGAGUAGCCAUUGCCUAUCGUACUGUCUCAGAUGACGCAAUUUAUGUAAUAGUGAGCAUGGUGCCUACCGAACUUCUCACGCUUGAGAUGCAUAGGUUACAUAACAACAUUGGGCAGAGACCGUCGAGCGCGGAUAAGAAAGAGGAAAGUCUGCGAACAAUUGAAGAAUGGCAGAUACGGUGGAAGCAAUCCGAGAAAUAUAGGUGGACCUUUGAAUUGAUUCCAAGUAUUGCUAGGUGGAAUGAGCAAAAACACGGAGAAAUCGAUUUUUGUUAGUUGCUUUUAGUUGCGAUUAGUUGCUUCAAAACAGACCACAGGCUGCGGCCCAAGUUUAAACCCGCAUAAAACAGAACUAAUGCUUUUCACCACCAGAUACAAGAUACCAAUUUUUAUCCUAGCAACCAUUAAUGGACAAACUCUCUCACUUACGUCCAGUGCAAAGUACCUAAGGGUAAUUCUGGACUCCAAACUUAGCUGGAAAUUAAAUGUCAAGGAACCAGAAAUUACUUUAUAUCAAUCAAGGCAAUCAUUUUAUGUUCCAAAAAGGUUCUUAAGGCACCGCCUCACGUUAUUCCGCUAAAUCUUUAUAUCAAGAAUAUGGCAAUCAUGAGUUAAUUUUGGUUAAACGCAGUGGACCGCUGGAAGAAAAAACCGUAUGGUCAUGCCGGUAUAUUAUACCUCCAAGAGAACUGACUAACAUGCAUUAAGAAUAGUGCCACUUUCUUGCCAUCUCAGGAGGAAUAGAGUAAGGGAUUCGUACUACAAAAACUUCGACUCUACAGUCCAUACCGAUGACUCUAAAAUGGAUUGUGGUGUUGGAACAGUGUCUUCCAGGCAGAAGAACAGGCAAUUGGGGAAGCAUGUACGUCACUUAUCGCAGAUUUCUCUUUUAAGGGCAAUAUCGCUAUUCUUUCGGAUAGCCAAUCUGCAAUCCCGGCACUGGAUUCGGCUACAACAACUUCUAAGCUGGUGGAACAAAGUAGGAAUAGCUUUGGCAACUUGAGUGAAAAUCACAAUGUUACCUUAAUCUUGGUCCCACGGUAUCGGAACAUUGCAGGUUAUGAAAAAGCAGAUGAACUGGCAAGAGGGGGAUCUGCAAUGAAAACCGAUCUGGCAGAAUGGGUAUUUACACCACUGAGUGCAAUCAAGAAUCCUUUUUUCCUCAAAGUACCUCCGAAUCGCGGAUUGUGGAUGGAAAGAUCAGACGGUAUGCAAAGUUAGCAGAACGUUAUGGCAAACGUAUACAACCUCAAACAAUCGUCAACAUUGACAAACAUGAAAUGACGGGAUUCACGGUAGUCAUAAUGGGCUUUGGGGUAGUCUGUUGGGCAACAAGUAGUCAAAAUGGUUAUCCCUCACAACACAACUGCCACAGUGGUAAACUAUUUUCCAUUUCCUCAGUGCAUGCUCUGCCUUAUGAAAAGAGAGAAUGUGAAG